rnacentral:rRNA from 1 species
GACGAACGCUGGCGGCGUGCUUAACACAUGCAAGUCGAACGGAAAGGCCCUGCUUUUGUGGGGUGCUCGAGUGGCGAACGGGUGAGUAACACGUGAGUAACCUGCCCUUGACUUUGGGAUAACUUCAGGAAACUGGGGCUAAUACCGGAUAGGAGCUCCUGCUGCAUGGUGGGGGUUGGAAAGUUUCGGCGGUUGGGGAUGGACUCGCGGCUUAUCAGCUUGUUGGUGGGGUAGUGGCUUACCAAGGCUUUGACGGGUAGCCGGCCUGUGAGGGUGACCGGCCACAUUGGGACUGAGAUACGGCCCAGACUCCUACGGGAGGCAGCAGUGGGGAAUAUUGCACCAUGGGCGGAAGCCUGAUGCAGCAACGCCGCGUGCGGGAUGACGGCCUUCGGGUUGUAAACCGCUUUCGCCUGUGACGAAGCGUGAGUGACGGUAAUGGGUAAAGAAGCACCGGCUAACUACGU